GUUUGCAGCUUUUUAAAGUCAUAUACUUGUGAACAGUUGCUCUCUUUUAAGCAAUGCUUCUUUAUCUAGGUUUUAACUUUAUCUCAUUAUUAGUCUGUUCAUGGUAGUGCUUAUAAUGAGUGGGGUCUGUAUCCUGAUAAUUUUCUCCCCAGUCCCGUGAUAAAUGCAAUCUGGCACAAGCACGAUGGACAUGCAAUCCAGUGGACCUUUCAACAUUGUUGGACGGUGUCCUGCGUGCUAGAGCUGCCAUAAUCUGGUCUCCUAAACUAUGCCAUGAACAGAUGGAGACACUAAAUGAUCAACACUAGCAAACGUGACCUUAUUAUGCGAUGCACCUUGCAGGGACCCGGUUACAUAGAAAUAGUGCAAUAGUAGGGGCCAUAAAUAAAGAGGGUCCAAUUGCCACCCAAGUUGUUGGUUUUAAUAGGCUCUGCAAUGCUGUCUGGUAAUUUUCUUUUAAUCCAUAUUAAUGUGCAUAUCUAUGUUAUAGUCCGCCUUAGAAAUGUUUCACUGCACGGACUAGAUCUGCCAAAUAUAAAGCUGUAGGCCCUUUUACCACCACUAUCACUGUUCCAUUGUUUGCAGAAGUCUGUACUAAGCAGUAUCAUCCCCUUUUUCUGAUACCAUUCAAACUCCACUCAUAAUUGACUUGCAUGGUCUUACCAGGACAGAGAAGCGCCGCAUGUUUUUAUCAUGUUUUCUAAGGGAAUGCCUCUUUUUUUUCUGCUAAUACCUGUGCAAAUUAAGGGCCUCCCUGUAUCAUGCGCGUGCUAUUCACGGCGCAGAGAUGGAGAUGCUGUGGUAAUAUGUGGUGGUCGGCAAGGAGAAACAGGCGUACUGCAAGCAGCUGCAGGAUCUUCCAGCAGAUUAAUCUGUAGGCAAAUAAUUCCCAUGGCCAAAGGGGCCAAGCCUCCUGUUGCUCCUCCAUCCAUCAUUUGGUGAGCAAUUUCUCCUGUUGAACAACAGGGUUACCUCACACGUUCACCGUUGUCAUUCAGCACAGCUUUUUCUUGAGGGGGAGGGUGGACAUUCGACAUAACUUUUCACAGCCGGCAAGCGCAUAAUUGCCCAAAACCCUGUCAGACAUCUUUAUCUUUACCGUUUAGGCGCAUCUCCGUGGUAACAGGGAAAUGCAUAAUGAUAUGCAGGACUGCGCUGCACUGCACGGAGACUGCAGGAUCAUUUGUGGGCACUCAUUCCAAGGACCGAGAACGAGCCUGUACUUCCGCUUUCUGUUGCCCCAUACAGGGAUCCUCUCCUCCUGGCCCCGAUCCAUCAGCCUCCGUCCGAGCCAUCUCGCCCCUGUUCAUCAUGCCCCAUGUACCCACCCACACCCCGUAAAGCUCUGAACUGCAACCCGCCAGUGUCCUCCUCGUCAGCUGCAUGCAACAGGAGCACGGCUCUGUGCAAGGUCACUAUUGAGAUCCCCCCCCUUUGGCCUGCUGAUGGUUACUGCCGCCCUACCACACUGCCCGGAAAUGAAAUGUUGUUCCAGCGGCUGUCCUUUAGCAGAGCACUCGCCCCGCCAUUGAUUCCUUUUGUUCCUGCCUGCCUUGUCAAUCCCAAGGCGAUGCUGAUGCCCAUCUAAUCUGUGCGUACACGACCGGCCUGUCUUGUUUUUUUUGCUUGUGGCCUUCCUCUUGUGUUCUUCCACUAACACUGCCAAUGCCACGUUUCGAACAAUAUACUGUCAUGGUCGUUGUCGAAUCGGCAGCUGAAAUUUCGUAAUCCCUUGAUGCCUUUCUUUAUAGGUAGCUCACUAGCUUGUUCUGUUUGUUAGGGCUUAGCUAAUAUUCAAAGGAUUGUUGGGGUGAUAAUGAAGAUGGCACUCGCCAUCGCUUUGACCAGGAAAUUCUUGGCAAGUGAUAAUGAUGAUCGGCGUGCAAUGCAUAGAUGGGCCACAUCAACAA